AUGUGCCGUCUCCUCAGGACCCAACGCAGCCAGACAACACAAACCAGGGCCCCCCAGGGCAACAGAGGGAGGCCUGGGACCCGGGGCAAGCUCUCAGAAGCCAGCAGCAGAGCGCCCCCUAGCGGCUCCAGGGUGAGCUGGCUGUGGGCCCCAGGCGCAGGUAGGGGGCCCUCCAUGGCAGGGAGGGCUCCCCAGCUCUGCCUCCGAGGGCCAGUGUCCUCUGGGCCACGAUCAAACGCUCAGAACCUUGGGGAGUGUUCCGUCUCCAAGGGGAAUAGGUGCCUGACCCCCAGGGCUGGUCACCGAGGUGGGGGAGGGGAGGCCCGCCAGGUUGAAGAGACAGUUCUCAGGAGAGGCUCUGAAUUAGAAAGGGAUCGCUCAUGUCCAGGCUGGGGGAGAUGGCUGUGGGGGAAGGCAGUGUGUCCCACCCAGGAUCGCAGCAAACCCUGGAUCAGGGUGGAAAUGUCGACUGUAGUUUAAAAUGUUGUCACCUGCCCAGCAGAGCCACCAGAGCCUGGUCACUCGCCCUUCAUCCAUUGGGGGAUUGGAGCCCAGGCGGCUGGAGACGGGCUGCCGUUCCUUCUGUGCCCCAUCACCUGUGUGGCCUGAAUCCAGAAGAAGGUAACUUUUUUAGGGUUACCUGUCUGUGUUGAAACUGAAGCAUCGUGGGGACACAGCCAAUCCCUGGAUUCCUAGUGACCAAGAGGGUGGGUGACUUAGGCCCUGCCACUAAAAGGACACUGACAUUCAAAUUUCAUUAUUGUCACUCAUUUUGCUGUGCUUUCCCACUUUCCCACCCCUGGCAACAAAACUAAGGGGAAAAAAUCGGUGUGCUUGGAGGGUUUGUAGUCAGAGUCACGGCUGGAGAGAAUGUCAUGCUCACUCUGGCAACAAUAACUGAUCCAAUCACAUUGGAGUCUGUGAGCCCUUCCUGAACAUCAACAGUCCUAGAGCAAACAGUGAGACCUCAGGGGGACAGUCCCAAGCAGGGGCCACCAGACACAGAUGAUGCAGUGGGGAGAAAUUGACACAGAAAUGACAGGAAGGUGGGCUCGCGCCCAGGGUGCAUUCCCUGGGAGUCCUGAGGUUCCUCGGAGAAGAGGGGAUACAGGGUGAGACUGGGUCUUUGUCCUUCACAACCUGUGGGGAGAAGAUGCAACAGACACGGCCACUCUCGGGUGCUGGUCUUAAGACUAUGUCGUCUGAUAUUGAUAUCAGCAACUCAACCUUCUUUCAUUAGUGCUUGUUUGUCUGUUUCUAACUUUGACCUUCUGUUUUUUCAAUGCCCUUGUUUUUAAGGUUGAUCUCUCGUGGAGAAGAAAAUGACAACCCACUCCAGUAUUCUUGACUGUACAAUCCCACAGACAGAGGAGCCUGGCGGGCCACAGUCCAUGGGGUCACAAAGAGUUGGCAAAACUGAGAGACUGAACACUCUAAUAAGUGGGGGAACCAUACUUCCUGAUCUGCCCUGGAGAGUGAUGGUUUGUGCCAUCCCUGGUUCUAAACCAGAAGCAGGUUUAGAAGCCCCUCUUAUGGUCCAUGGAGAAGGAAAUGGCAACCCACUCCAGUAUUCUUGCCUGGAGAAUCCCAUGGAUGGAGGAGCCUGGUGGGGUCCAAAGACCCCAGUCCACGGGGUCGCAAAGAGUCGGACACGACUGAGCGACUUCACUUCACUUAUGGUCCAAAGUAACCUGGUUUGGACAAUAUGGUAUGUGGUCACCUGACUUCUAAACAGUAGAUAAUUUGGAAUUCUAAAAGCUACCCAGGGACUUUCCUGGUUCCAGUGGCUGGGACUCCACGUGUCCAGGGCAGGGGGCCAUGUCUGAUCCCUGGUUGGGAAACUAGAUCCCACAUGCUGCAACUAAGACCUGGUGUAGCCAAAUAAAUAAAUACUUUAAAAAACACACAACUAUCCACACUGACAUUAUAUAUCUUUAAAUGGUGUGACUUAGUCCCUGUUUAUACACUUUAUACAUGUAAAUGCUGACAAAAUAGGAUUUUCUCCAUACUGUU
rnacentral:lncRNA from 1 species